GAUCCUGGCUCAGGAUGAACGCUGGCGGCAUGCCUAAUACAUGCAAGUCGAACGAGAGGAAGGAAAGCUUGCUUUUCUAAAUCUAGUGGCGAACGGGUGAGUAACACGUAGGUAACCUGCCCAUGUGCCCGGGAUAACUUCUGGAAACGGAUGCUAAAACCGGAUAGGUAGCAGACAAGCAUUUGACUGCUAUUAAAGUGGCUAAGGCCAUGAACAUGGAUGGACCUGCGGUGCAUUAG
rnacentral:rRNA from 1 species